GGGUGAAAUCUAGCCCUCCUGAAGUCAAUGGUAGUUUUGUCAUUGACUUCAGUAGGACCAGGAGUUCACCU
rnacentral:pre_miRNA from 1 species